GGGCUGAGUUUGUGGCGCGCUUAGUGAUGGGAUGGCCCUGUGCAGGACGCCGACACGAAAAGAUGAAGAGUUCAAUCCGUGCUGUCUGAACUCACAGUGUAGCAGGCGAGAUAGACGGGAAGAUCGGUAGGGUGGGAGAUGCCGGAAAGGCUUCCCGUGAGACUGGAUAAGAAAUCAAAAAUCUGGUGAAAUUGCCGGCAAGAGGGAGUUAAGGACAUUCCAGGCAGAGGCAAGGAAUGGAGCUGCCAGAGAGUUCCAGCUGCCUCAGAUCCUCCCUGGUCUCUCAGUCCAGAUUCCUAAGAUGAGGACACAGCAUCCUGGGCCACUGUCACUAAUACAAAUUUGCCUCUGGAGGGACUCUACGGAAGAUAAUUCCCCUGAAAUUUGGAGAGUUGAAUUAAGCUAGGACUGAUUCUGGCUGGAAUUUGUGGUGGCUACGUACCCUAGAGGGCCUCAAGGAAACCCACGGUUCAAGACAGCCCUGACAGAUUCUGGAGUCUAGAACAGAAAUGGAUUUGAACAUGGGCAAGGCCAACCACCCAGUUCACGGCCUGUGUACAGCAAAGAUUACGUUACAGCCUGAGAGCUAAGCCUGGAAGCUCUUUCAUCCAUCCGUUUGUCCAUCUAUCCAUCCAUCUGCUCAUCCAUCCCUCCAUCUGCUCAACAAACGUUAGAGAAUCAAUCCUUGUGUCAGAUACUGGGGCUGCCCUCAAGGAGCUUUUAUAGAGUUCAGGGUACAGCCAGGUGGGGGAGACAGAUCACUAUAAAAACCUACCACUAUAAUCCAAAGGACAAGAGCAAAAAUAGUAAAGAGGAGAGAAGACCCAAAUUUGCCUGGUGGGUCAGAGAGGGCUUUCUAGAAGAGGUAAAAAAUCUUCGGGGCUAUCACUUCACCUUGCCUGGUGGAUAAAGGGAGGACUUUCCAGAUACAGUGGACAGAAUGUGCAGAGGCAGGAGCCAUGAGUGGCAGAGGCAGGGGAGGGACUGCAGAGACAGGUUGGAGCCAAAGCACGUGGCACUGGAGCCAUAGCCAAAGGAACAAACUGUGAGACCUGGGACUUGAAUUUGGAGGUGGUGAAAAGUGACAAGGUCUUCACAGAAGAGUGAUUUUUUCAACUUAGGGAAGGCUGACCCCAGACCAAUGCUGCCAAAGUGUGGUCUGUGGGCUGUUAGCAGUUCGUGACGAUGUAAGUACAGGAAUUGAGAUUAAGCAUUUAGAACACCUACAGCACUUUGAUAGUCAUUUUACUUUUUAAAUUUUGAGCUGGCAUUUUAUAUGCCUGGUUUUUUUUUGUUUUUGUUUUUUUAUUUUUUUUGAGACAGUCUCGCUCUGUCGCCCAGGCUGGAGUGCAGUGGCGCGAUCUCUGCUCACUGCAAGCUCCGCCUCCCGGGUUCACGCCAUUCUCCUGCCUCAUCCUCCCAAGUAGCUGGGACUGCAGGCGCCUGCCGCCUCGCCCAGCUAAUUUUUUGUAUUUUUAAUAGAGACGGGGUUUCACCAUGUUAGCCAGGAUGGUCUCAAUCUCCUGAUCUCGUGAUCUGCCCGCCUUGGCCUCCCAAAAUGCUGGGAUUACAGGUGUGAGCCACCACGCCCAGCCUUAUUCUCUUUUUCUAAUAGUUGCACUUUAUCAUAUUUUACAAAUGUGUGAGUCUGCUAUGGAUUAGAAAUUAAUAAGAGAUUUUGCCACAGAUAGUUUGAGAAGCCCAGCACUGCCACUCAACAAAUGCUGGUGCAUUCAGAUGGUGAAAUAUUCUGCAGCUAUUAAAGGAGUUAAAACUGCCUCCACUUACCUGGAGGCCCAUCUGUGACACCUUUUUAGGUUAAAAGGAAAAGAAAAACUUGCUUAGGACUGAAUAUGAGCGGUUGCAAUUUGUAACAAUGAUGUAUAUAUACAUAUACAUUUUCAUGUAUUUGUAUGAACAUAAAAGUAUUGAAGGAUAUUCAUCAAACUGCUAAAAGGGUUGCUUCAGAGUAACGGACUCGGAGAAGGCAGAUUAAUUUUCUCUUAAUGGAACUCUGUAUUGUAUCA
ensembl:lncRNA CKMT2-AS1 CKMT2 antisense RNA 1